rnacentral:rRNA from 1 species
AUUGAACGCUGGCGGCAGGCCUAACACAUGCAAGUCGAGCGGAUGAAGGGAGCUUUCUCCUGGUUUCAGCGUCGGACGGGUGAAUAAUGCCUAGGAAUCUGCCUGGUAGUGGGGUAUAACGUCCGGAAACGGGCGCUAAUAACGCAUGCGUCCUGAGUGAGAAGGUGGGGGUUCUUCGGACCUCACGCUAUCAGAUGAGCCUUGGUCGGAUUAGCUAGUUGGUGGGGUGAAGUCCUACCAAGGCGACGAUCCGUAACUGGUCUGAGAGGAUGAUCAGUCACGCUGGAGCUGAGGGACGGUCCAGACUCCUAAGGGAGGCAGCAGUGGGGAAUAUUGGACAAUGGGCGAAAGCCUGAUCCAGCCAUGCCGCGUGUGUGAAGAAGGUCUUCGGAUUGUAAAGCACUUUAAGUUGGGAGGAAGGGCAGUAAGUUAAUACCUUGCUGUUUUGACGUUACCAACAGAAUAAGCACCGGCUAACUUCGUG